UUAGUUCUACGCGCGAUCGUAGUAUAUUCGGUUAUUCGCGAGUGUCCUGUGCAACGAGAGGAGGAGGAGGCCUGGGAAAGGCAUUGGGCCCCGGCAGAGCAACUUUGGGAAUCAUCGUAGCGACGUUGCUGAAUAUCUCUGCCGCUGCGCAUCGAUCGGUGAGUGAUGAAUAAACUUUUAAAAUUGGAGUAAUAGAUCUGUGACAAAAUUGUACUUCAUAUAUAAUGUAGAAAUGUUUGCUAUAAUGCUGCAAUAAUAAAUAACAUUUAGAUAUCAUAUUUAUUUCAUGGAUCUAUUGCUUUAAAGUGGAUUGACUAAAACAGAUCAGGAUUUAACAUUUAAUCCUGAAUGAAUGAUAUACAUUAACUUAUCAUGCAUAUUUAAUUUAUUAAAUAAUUUUUUUCGACGCCGUUGCAGUCUCGGCGAGGGUUAGGUAUGUGUUCAACAUCAUCAAAUAUAAAUUACAAGUAUAAUAAAAAAUAUAUAAUGUAUCUUGCACGUAUGCGCACAAUUAGAAACUGCGCGCCGUUUCGUCUCUGAUAAAUUCCGUCAAA
rnacentral:lncRNA from 1 species